rnacentral:lncRNA from 1 species
GAUACCUUUGGCUUCACUUUUCUUGCUAAGGAUUUUAAUUUUUUCCAAAUUAAUUUCAUGACUGCAUUUUCUAUUCUAUGAAGAAUAUCAUUGGGAUUUUAAUAGGAAUUGCAUUAACUCUGUAUAGUGCUUUUGGUAGUAUGGCCAUUUUGACAAUGUUAAUUCUGCCUAUCCAAGAACAUGAGAGAUCUUUCAGUCUCCUAAGGUCUUCUUCAAUUUCUUUCUUGGUGUAUUAUAGUUUUCAUGGUAGAGGUCUUUCACCUCUUUUGUUAGAUUAGUUCCCAAAUAUUUAUUUUUUUGAGGCUAUUGUAGAUGAGAUAGUUUUCCUAAUUUUUAUUGCAGUAGAUUCAUCACUGAUGUAGAGAAAUGCAAUUGAUUUAUGGGUGUUAAUUUUAUAUCACGCUACUUUGCUGAAUUUGUUUAUGAGGCAAGUGCUCUACCCUGAG